UGGAUCCAGACUUUGAUCAUGGCUCAGGAUGAACGCUAGCUACAGGCUUAACACAUUGCAAGUCGAGGGGAAACGAUAGAGAAAGCUUGCUUUUUCUAGGCGUCGACCGGCGCACGGGUGAGUAACGCGUAUCCAACCUGCCCACCACUUGGGAAUAACCUUGCGAAAGUAAGACUAAUACCCAAUGAUAUCUCUAGAAGACAUCUGAAAGAGAUUAAAGAUUUAUCGGUGAUGGAUGGGGAUGCGUCUGAUUAGCUUGUUGGCGGGGUAACGGCCCACCAAGGCGACGAUCAGUAGGGGUUCUGAGAGGAAGGUCCCCCACAUUGGAACUGAGACACGGUCCAAACUCCUACGGGAGGCAGCAGUGAGGAAUAUUGGUCAAUGGGCGAGAGCCUGAACCAGCCAAGUAGCGUGCAGGAUGACGGCCCUAUGGGUUGUAAACUGCUUUUAUAAGGGAAUAAAGUGAGCCUCGUGAGGCUUUUUGCAUGUACCUUAUGAAUAAGGACCGGCUAAUUCCGUGCCAGCAGCCGCGGUAAUACGGAAGGUCCGGGCGUUAUCCGGAUUUAUUGGGUUUAAAGGGAGCGUAGGCCGGAGAUUAAGCGUGUUGUGAAAUGUAGAUGCUCAACAUCUGCACUGCAGCGCGAGCUGGUUUCCUUGAGUACGCACAAAGUGGGCGGAAUUCGUGGUGUAGCGGUGAAAUGCUUAGAUAUCACGAAGAACUCCGAUUGCGAAGGCAGCUCACUGGAGCGCAACUGACGCUGAAGCUCGAAAGUGCGGGUAUCGAACAGGAUUAGAUACCCUGGUAGUCCGCACGGUAAACGAUGGAUGCCCGCUGUUGGUCUGAAUAGGUCAGCGGCCAAGCGAAAGCAUUAAGCAUCCCACCUGGGGAGUACGCCGGCAACGGUGCAACUCAAAGGAAUUGACGGA
rnacentral:rRNA from 2 species